rnacentral:rRNA from 1 species
AUGGCUAAUACAGCGCCGGCCUUCUCUGUUCUAGGCGCUGAGGCAUGUGCUUGGGUUAGCCGUUGCUUUUGCUCAAGCUCCGCCACUGACCGAUGGGCUGGUUCCCUUCUUCCUUCUCUUCCUACCAGCUCACGUGUCACCUUGGUGACACAGCUGUCGCUGCCGUCAUCGUCCUUGUCUUCACCACCGCCACCAUUGCCUGGUCUUCUCUAUGGUCCACCCAGACACGUCACAGUGCCAACUUUGAAGCCCGCUGCAUUAGCCUUUGAUGAACCUGAAAUCAGAGGGCCAUGUUGUAAUACGAAUUCUCGGGAUUUUCAUUUGAAUCGAACUCUUUUUGUGUGA